rnacentral:tRNA from 1 species
GCCAGACCGAGUCGCCGGCCGAGACCCACUCCUCGCGGGUGGACGGGGUGCUGACCGGGCGCGAGGUGUCGUUCCACGCGACGGUCUGCCA